AUUGAACGCUGGCGGCAGGCCUAACACAUGCAAGUCGAGCGGAGCGGCUGACGGGUGAGUAAUGCCUAGUAAUCUGCCUGGUAGUGGGGGAUAACGUCCGGAAAUGGGCGCUAAUACCGCAUACUAUCAGAUGAGCCUAGGUCGUAUUAGCUUGUUGGUGGGGUAAAGACCUACCAAGGCGUCGAUCCGUAACUGGUCUGAGAGGAUGAUAAGUCACACUGGAACUGAGACACGGUCCAGACUCCUACGGGAGGCAGCAGUGGGGAAUAUUGGGCAAUGGGCGAAAGUCUGAUCCAGCCAUGCCGCGGGUGUGAAGAAGGUCUUCGGAUUGUAAAGCACUGUAAGUUGGGAGGCGUUACCAACAGAAUAAGCACCGGCUAACUUCGUGCCAGCAGCCGCGGUAAUUC
rnacentral:rRNA from 1 species